rnacentral:lncRNA from 1 species
UAUGCUUAAAUUUCGAUGGUAUUUUUAUUUUCCAGCAAAGUUAGUCGAUUAACUAAUAAAAUUGACUAUCUAAUAUUUUGUAUUAAAACUGGAAUUUCCUCAAGCUAAGAUAUUCGAAUAUCUGAUUUAGAUAUUUGAAUAACCUAAUUUAGUUAUUCGAAUAACCCGAUUUAGUUAUUCGAAUAACCUGAUGACUGUUUACUAAGUUAGUCGAAUAACUAAUUAGUUAU